rnacentral:lncRNA from 1 species
GCCAUGGUGACGAGAAAUAUACCUCUGCCUUUCUUCCCAACUGUCACUCUUUGAGCUGAGCAGUUCAUAGUUGAUAUUGAGUUGUCAGCUCUCUACCUAGCGUCUUUGAGGAUGGACAACCUCAAUUCUUGCUGCUGCGAUGAUGUUGCCAAGGCUGUGGUGCCAGAUUUUGUCCACCGAAACUCAGAUGGAUACCUGGAUACCUUCAAGCAGCUGCUUGAAACACAAAC